UUCUUAUCCAGAGAGAUGGAGGGACUGGCCCAAUGAAAUCUCGGCAACCUAAUUCGGUUAGGUGCCAAUUCCAGAAAGCACACGCUUGAAGAUGAGGA
rnacentral:ncRNA from 2 species